rnacentral:rRNA from 1 species
GAUGAACGCUGGCGGCAGGCUUAACACAUGCAAGUCGAGCGGAGUUGUGGUGCUUGCACCAUAACUUAGCGGCGGACGGGUGAGUAAUGCUUAGGGAUCUGCCUAUUAGUGGGGGACAACAUUUCGAAAGGAAUGCUAAUACCGCAUACGCCCUACGGAGGAAAGCAGGGGAUCUUCGGACCUUGUGCUAAUAGAUGAGCCUAAGUCGGAUUAGCUAGUCGGUGGGGUAAAGGCCUACCAAGGCGACGAUCUGUAGCGGGUCUGAGAGGAUGAUCCGCCACACUGGGACUGAGACACGGCCCAGACUCCUACGGGAGGCAGCAGUAGGGAAUAUUGGACAAUGGGGGGAACCCUGAUCCAGCCAUGCCGCAUGUGUGAAGAAGGCCUUUUGGUUGUAAAGCACUUUAAGCGAGGAGGAAGAGCUCUAGACUAAUACUCUAGAUGCUUGGACGUUACUCGCAGAAUAAGCACCGGCUAACUCUGUGCCAGCAGCCGCGGUAAUACAGAGGGUGCAAGCGUUAAUCGGAUUUACUGGGCGUAAAGCGUGCGUAGGUGGUCUUUUAAGUCGGAUGUGAAAUCCCUGAGCUUAACUUAGGAAUUGCAUUCGAUACUGGGAGACUAGAGUAUGGGAGAGGAUGGUAGAAUUCCAGGU